CAAGCCUAUAUAUAGAUCUUUCUCCGUCCCUGGUUCCUAGAGCUUUGUAUAGUCCGUCAAAAGCUUGGGCUCUUGCCUCACUCACCGUCUUUUUGGUUUCAUUUCUAGCUAUCUUAUACUUAUCCCAAGUUUCAGAAUUUCUACACCUAGACCACUCCUUGAAACACUCAUUUUUUACUCUAACUUUGCUCUGAACAUUUUCAUUCCACCACCACGAUUCUUUACCCCUAGGUCCAAAACCUCUAGAUUCACCCAACGUCUCUUUAGCCAC
rnacentral:lncRNA from 1 species